rnacentral:lncRNA from 1 species
CUUUCAGUGCUAUGCCAUAACUAUAAGAAUCCAGAGAAAUUGCUUUCUUCAUUUGUUUCUUUUCCAGGUCUAUAAUGGUGAUACACUUCUUCUCUGAACCACCAGGUAUGAUAGCCAAUACAUUAUCAUCACUGUUGUACACUAUAUCGAACGCGUCAGACGGCAACUUCACUUUAAAAUCUUUUAAUCCUUUCACGUUGAAUAUAUUUACCUUACUCUCCAAGUAGUAGGUAAAUGCCACUCUACCAUUCGGUAAUAUGCAACAUCCAAAAAUUUGGAAUCCUUGAUUGUCGAAGGUCUUUUGUAGCGUAAGGUUUAUAUGUUCAAUAGAUCUUGAUUGAACGGUUUAUACCAUCAUUUGGGCUUGUUUUGCCUUUUUCUUAAUCAGAACAAUAUUGUAAGAUUUAGCUUCAAUACGAACUUCUCCAAAACUUCUGAUAUCGGACAUGAUAUUCUCAUUAGCGGUGUUGAUCUUUAUGAAACAAAUGUUUGUUUAAAUUCCCGCCUUCUUUAAGCGACUGAAGGAAUUUAUGUUUGCUAUAGACGUCCUCUUCUGUUCGCUUCAUGGAAAGAAACACUUGACGAUCCGUUGCAUGUUGCUUGAUGUUGAUAAUAUUUUUCUGGCAUUCUGCUAUUUCAUUUUCUUUCUUUUCUAAUGAUGAGAAUAAUUGACUUACUUUCGAGUUUUCCUUUUCUUCUAUCGCAUAUAGUUGUUUCAUUAAGGUAGCACAAUACAAAGAUUUUGUCGCUCCCAAUCAGACAACUUUAAACUGAUGUAAUUCAUUUCAUCCUUCUUUAUAUUUUAUUAAUGAGGUACCAAAAGAAAGAAGAAAGAUUAAUCUUUCAAAUUGUGAUCAUUUCAUUAUGACAUAAUUAUUAUAUAAUUAAUUAUUGUGUAAUUAGUUGCUAUAUUGUGAUGUCCACACUUGAAUCAAUUUAGCUUCUUUGUUCUUUAUAGCAUCCCAAAAUAUUUUAUAUAUUCUUGUACAACACAGCUUGACCUCCAAAACUGUGUCUCAGAUUUCCAAAAACAUCAAUAGAACAAAUUUUAUACCCAAUUGAAUUUAAUGGUCUCUAAUGAAUUGAUGUUGCAAACUUCAUUGAAGAUUUAUGAGAGAAUGAAAUACAAUAAGAAAAAUCUGAGACACAGUUUUGGAGGUCAAACUGUGUAGUGCAAGAAUCUAUAAAAUAUUUGUGGAUGCUAUGAAUAACAAAGAAGCUAAAUUCAUUCAAGUAUAGACAUCACAAUAUGGCAACUAAUUACAUAACAAUUAAUGAUGUAAUAAUUAUGUCAUAAUGAAAUUAUCACAAUUUGAAAGAUUAAUCCUUCUUCUUUCUUUUGGUACCUCAUUUACAAAAUUUAAAGAAAGAUGAGCUACUUCAACUAAUGUUUCCUCUAGGUCGCACAGGGCAUUGGAAGUUGUGACAUUGUGAAUGACGUCAUCUAAUUCGACGAAAACUUGGCAUUCUUUAUGGCUUUCUAUGAUACAUUUGCUGCAGCAGGGAAAUUCUGCUUCUGGCAAUAGAAUUGAUACUUUUUAUCAUGUUUAUUACAGUUUUGACUGAUCAUUAGUACAGCAGCUGGUAAUUUAGUGUAUUCAGUAAUUGGUAUGACUUGAUGGUUUCUGGUUCCUUUUGACAAAUUAUGAUGCUCCUGGCAUUCAAUACGUAGUCCCUCAUCACAUUCUGUACACCAGACUAUUGAUGGUUUCGUAAUGUGACAAAGUUCACAAACACCACAGGUUUUAGAAGCUGUUGCCAUUUAACACACACUGCAAAUAACAAUAAUUAUAGCUGAUUUAAAACAACACCACCUCAAUUAAUCCGACAUCAAACAUGGUAACUUAAUUUAUUUUCCUGUCGAAGAGAGUUGACUCAGGCUUUCAGGUUUUCUACAUCAAUUUAAACAGGUUUCCUAAUAUAUCCAUGAGUACUGAAAAUUGAGUUUAAUAUCAAUACUCAAUCUCUGAAAUAAUUCUCAUUUAUCUCAUUUGACAGUUUUUUUUAUUCAAAAUGAAAAUGAAUUUGAAUAAUUGGAGCUUGUGAAUAGUACAGGGUCAAACAUUUAGAAUGAAUUAAACCGGGCCUUAAACUUUUAUAAAAGAUUAUGGAAAUAUAUAUAAAAAUCUGUUCAGAUUUGCUUUAAGUCUAAAGUUUAGUUAUUUUGUAGUUUAGGGUCUCAAAUAGUUAUUUUGCGUAUUGGAUUGGCAACUAGAUAUAAUUAAUCUUGAUUUCAGCUUAAUACAAGUCAGCUAUUUUAAUCGAUCAUUUGAUUGAAAGUGUAAGUUUGAUAAUAUUGAUAUAUGAAUUGUUAAUCAAUUAUAAAGCUAUAAUAUGUUAAAACAAUUAAAAAAAUUCCUACAGAAGAAUGUGUUAAAUGAUCAUAUUUACGUAUUUUGGCUUUUUUUUGUGGAUUCACAUUUGGUGUAAAUAUACUGGAAACUUUUCUGAUCUAAUAUUAAUCGAUGAUAUAUAUAAUACAUCAGAUAAAGUUCCAUUUCCUAAACCUGCUAAAUGAAUGAUUCCGUAAACGUGUAUAUAUGUAGUUCCAAUGAUUGAUGGUAUUAUACAGAUCGAAUUUCGUGUACAAAUGAAGAUAUUAUGAACGAAAAAAAUAACUUGCUCUAGAAUUGGGACAUAACAUAUAUAAAUGAAGAUAAUUAUGGAUUAUGUCCAAGCCCAAAACGAAAGUAAAAUAAAUCAUUCUACAAAUUUAACGUGUUUAGGUCAUUAGUUUAUUAGUUUAUUAGAAAGAAUUCAAAACAUAACAAAAGAAAGAAUUUAUCGUGGACUUAACAAAUAAAUCAUAAAAAUUACCUUUUUACUUUAAAAUAUGCAUUCCUCGUAUGGUUUACCAGCUCGAGUUUAUCAGGAAGGUCAUUAAUUAUUGAUUGUUUCAGAAAGUGAAAAAAGCCACAAAUUUUGAAUUUUAAAAUACACAUUAACAAGUUGGGUUGUAUUGGAAAUAAACGUAAUCAUUUUGGACAUGUUCUAUGUUCGUUUUAAUUUCAUUUUUUUAAAACUUAUUUCAGCAUUUCAGAAUAAGCUAAAACGGACAUUUUGCCAUUGAAACCGUACGGAUUAUCUUUGAUAUCUUUUAAACUAAAAAAAGUUAAACGGACAUGAUAAAAUGAUCAUCAGGUCAAGACCAUCCAUGUUGAUAUAUUCAGAUAAAUUGUGAACAGCCCCAUUUAACUGUUAUAGCCUCGGAAUUUUUCAUUCGUUGAAUAAUCCCAGCUAGUUGUGCUUUAGCUUAAGGACUAGUAGACGGAAAAAAAUAAAGCAGCACACAUUAUCAGGAGACAGCCUAUACAAACCAGUCCGAUCACACUUAUUAGCGACAAGAACUUGAAGAAGAACAUAUUCAGGAUAAGAAGAAGCGUGAAGAAAGUUUAUAUACUAUAUAAACAAAAACAAACAAAAAAAUAAAAUAAAAAAGUCAAUAAAUUACAGUUGAUUAUUUAUCUUUUGAAAAGUUUAAAGCAAAUAAUCAAAUCGUCAGUUAAGAAUAAAAGGUAAUGACCUUAAAUUACAAUGUUUACCAAUAUUGUCGUUUUUUUUUGUUGGUAUAUCAAACUUAAAAUUUUAUCCUAAACAUCUAUAACAAAUGGUUACAAAUCAAGAAAAAGUCAACAUGAUUGAAAUCAUCAGUUGACCACUUGCUAUUUGAGUGUUUGUCCUUCAAUGUCGAUAUCAAUCACAUUUUGGCAAAAAAAAAGGACAAAGAAAGAAAAAAUUUCAGAUCUACGCAUGGACAAAAUGAUUAAAACAACUUAAUAGUAGCAAGAUGAUUAUUUUAACGAUUUCAUGGGAAACACGAUAUAACGUCUGAUUUCAAGGAUAUGCACUACGUUUACACUCCUUGAAUCCGCCACUGCAGUUAGAAAUAUAUUUCAGGUUUGAUUUUUCUCUGUUGUAAAGAUCUCAUGCUUGCAUUUUUUUUCAGUAUUUGGUGAAUACAUUUUUCGUCAUUUUCUUUUUUUGUGGAAAAAACAGUUUUUGUUUUUAAUUGAGACUGUGUCAUGAUUAAUACUACUAUUUAUAGUUUUAUAUAUAACAUGUAUAAAUUGUUUUGGAGAACUGAUACCUAAAUAAAGAUAUAUUUGUAAUUCUUAUAUUGAAAUAUAUGCGAGUUCCUUUAAAAUUAUUGGAGAUACUUAAAUUUCUCUCCUAUUAAGAUAUUUGAAUUUUUUCCUGAUAUUAAUAUUGAUAAUACAUACGAAAAUAACAUUAUAUACAUGUGGUGCUUCUAAAAACCUUUUAUGGAUAAAACUUGUUCAGGAACAUUAAAAUCAAAACCUAUCAAUAUUAGUAACUAAAAAACAGACUUGAUCCUUAUACAAUUAAAACAUCUUGUGAAAGAUGAAGCAUGAAUUUUAGGUCAUGGUCAUAACUAAUGUUAAACUGACAUUACAUAAUUGAAUUUUUGAAGAAAAAAAAUAAGGCUUUUCUACCUCAGGAAUAGAUUACUUAGCUGUAUUUGGCAUAACUUUUAGGAAUUUUUGUCCUUAAUGCUCUUCAACUUCGUACUUUAUUUUGCCUUUUUAACUUUUUUGGAUUCAACCGUCACUGAUGAGUCUUUUGUAGACGAAACGCGCGUCUGGCGUAUAUACAAAAUUUAGUCCUGGUAUCUAUGAUGAGUUUAUUUGCAAACAAUCCUCAUACAUAUUGUAAGUCGCUCAAUUAUAGUCAGAAAGGAGGAGGCUUCAUUAUGACACCAUGGUUACAAAUAAUAUUCAGGUCAAGGUUAUAUGACAUAUCUCAGAUGAUCUCAGAUGAACACAUGUUUCCUUAUAUAUCACAUGAAAACUACAAACCAAAAUAAUGUUGACCUAUCCUGUAAACUUAUAAAGGAAUAGUCUACACCUCGCAAGCUUAAAAUUUACCACUGAAGUAUGACUUAUGUCUUCUUCCAAACCAAUCAAGGAACCCAUUGAUGUUGAUUUAUCAUGAAAAAUACAAAAUGCACAUACUACAAACGUUUAGCUAAUCGCUGAAUCAUGACAGUUUAUUCUCUCAAAUUAUCACCAAACAAGGUGAUAAAGACAAUCAUUCAUACUUUUAUAGGCAUAGACUUCAACUUAUAAUGAGACCUGUCAGCUCAAGCAUAUGCGUUUGAACGAAAAUGUUGUAUUAUAUGAUCAUUAUCAUUAGUUUUGUAACUACAUAAUUAUAUAUUCAUUUAUUAUGAUUUUUUAGAUUUAUAUACCUUUUGUUAUUCUAUUGGCGAUCUUUAUAAGUCGUAUCUCGCCAUAUGUGCACGUGAUGUCCCAAUAAAGAUAAUUUGUCAAUAUUUAUAUUUUGUCAUGAAAAAAUAUUUGUAUCUGGAAAAUUUUGUGCUGGAUGGUAGUUUAUAAAUAGUAGCAAUAAUAUCAGUGACCCACGUCAUUUGGUCGGUGGUAGGUAGUUCCCUCAUUUGCAAACACACCACAUAUCGUUGUUUUAUUUCUAUAAACAUGAUAAAAUGUAUUUACCAUGUUUACCGGCAACAUCGUUUCUGGUUCGUGAUGAUACUAGUGUUCUCAUUCCAUUAAAUGUAUUAGAAUACACAUGUUUAAUGAAAUAACAGCAAUAACUAUACAUAAUUUGUAAAUGAAUACGUUUAAAACACACACUACAUAUUAUAUUUCUGUCAGAAAGUAACUAAAUAGGUUUCAAAAUUCUAGAUAUUUUAAUCACUGCUCAGAAUGACCUAAAGUUUAAGAAGUUUUAACUUUGAAUUUGUUUAAAUAACAUCAAACAAAUGAGCAUUGUAAUUGAAGUUCGCGAUAAGCAGCUGGUUCUUUGAUCCACUAUAAUGAAGCGAGGCAGGAUCUUCAAGGCCAUAACUUGCUGUCAAUACUUCUCUAUGUCGUUGUCCAUCAGGAGAGAUAACAACAACGUUGUUUGAAGUGCUCCCUGUCACAAACACAUUACCAUCAUUAUCUACAUCAAUACCUCGAGGAGAUUUAAGAACGGUUACGUUACGGAAAUUCCAUUGUAUUUCUCCUUGUCGAUUAUAACAUGUUACAGUGUGUGUUUCAUUGUUUGUAUGAUAUAUACUGUUCUUAAAUGUUGCAAUGCAACAUUGUGUUGGCAUUAUGUCUCGGACUAUGUCACGUAUAGACUCGUCGUCUAGAUUGAUCAUUCGUAUACCUUUGUCGUAACCGGAAUAAAUCAAUCGGUUAUCUUUCAAUGCAAUGCCAAAACUAUUCCGAAUCCAGUGAAAUUAUUUUCUUGAUUUGUUUCUUCUCCAAGUCGAUAAUAGUAAUACACUUCUAUCUGUGAAUAACCAGAUGUGACAGCCAAUGUAUUGUCCUCACUGAUAAACACUAAAUCAAACGGGUAAACCGGCAUCUUCACCUCAAAGUCUUUCAAUCCUUUCAUGUUAAACACAAUUACCUUACAAUCCGAGUUGUAAGUAAAUGCUAUUCUACCAUCCGGCAACAUGCAACAUCCGUAAAUUAAUUCUCCUUGAGUGUUGAUGGUCUUUUGUUUCGUAAACUUUAUAUUUUCAAUGGCUCUUGAUUGAACGGUCGGUACCAUCCUUUGAGCUUGUUUAUCCUUUUUCCUAGUAAUAACUAUAUCGCAAGAUUUAGCUUCAAUACGCACAUCUCCAAAACUUAUGAUAUCGGACAUGAUAUUUUGGAUAGAGGUGUUGAUCUUAUAUGAAAGAGAAGUUUUGGUGAAAAUCUUGUCUUCUUCAAGCGACUGAGAGAAUUUAUUUUUGCUAUAGACGUACCCUUCUAUUUGCUUUAUUGAAAGAAAGACUUGAAGGUCUGUUGCAUGUUGUUUAAUAUUCAUAAUAUUUCUCUUGCAUUCUGCUAUUUCCUUUUCAUUAUUUUCUAAUGAUGACAAUAACUGACCAAUUUUCGACUUUUCUUUUUCUUCUACUGCAUACAGUUGUUUAAUUAAAUCCUCUUGUAGUUUGUCAAGAUGGUUGUUGAUCUUUAUUCUGGUCAUCUUUAUUUCUUUUUCUAUUUCCUUUCUACUUUCUUCUAAUGUCGUCAGGUUGUCCUGUUGAUGCUGUCGAAUCUUCUGUAGAUUUUCUGCAACUUCAAAUAAUGUUUCCUCUAUUUCGCAAACGUCAUUGGAGGUUUUGACAUUGUGAAUGACGUCAUCUAAUUCGACGAAAUCUUGGCAUUCUUUAUGGAUUUCCACGAUACAUUUGCUGCAGCAGGGGCAUUCAUGCUUCUGGCAAUAAAAUUGAUACUUUUUAACGUGUUUACUACAGUUUUGACUAAUCAUUAGUACAUCAGCUGGUAAUUUCGUGUAUUCAGUAAUUGUAAUCACUUUAUGGUUUCUGGUUCCUUUUGACAAACUGUGAUGCUCCUGGCAUUCUGCACAUAGUCCCUCGUCACAUUCUGAACACCAGACUAUGGAUGGUUUGGUGAUGUGACGGAGUUCACAAACACCACAGCUCAUAGAAGCUGCUGCCAUUUCACACACACU